UACGAAGGGGGCUAGCGUUGUUCGGAAUCACUGGGCGUAAAGGGCGCGUAGGCGGCUUUAUAAGUCGGGGGUGAAAGCCUGUGGCUCAACCACAGAAUUGCCUUCGAUACUGUAGAGCUUGAGACCGGAAGAGGUAAGUGGAACUGCGAGUGUAGAGGUGAAAUUCGUAGAUAUUCGCAAGAACACCAGUGGCGAAGGCGGCUUACUGGUCCGGUUCUGACGCUGAGGCGCGAAAAGCGUGGGGGAGCAAACAGGGAU
rnacentral:rRNA from 1 species